GACGAACGCUGGCGGCGUGCUUAACACAUGCAAGUCGAACGGAAAGGCCCUGCUCUUGUUGGGGGCUCGAGUGUCGAACACGUGAGUAACACGUGAGUAACCUUCCCUUUACAUUGGGAUAACUUCAUGAAACUGGGGCUAUUACCCGAGAUGAGCUACUUCUGCAUGGUGGGGGUUGGAAAGUUUCGUCGGUUGGUGAUGGACUCGCGGCUUAUCAGCUUGUUGGUGGGGUAGUGGCUUACCAAGGCUUUGACGGGUAGCCGGCCUGAGAGGGUGACCGGCCACAUUGGGACUGAGAUACGGCCCAGACUCCUACGGGAGGCAGCAGUGGGGAAUAUUGCACAAUGGGCGGAAGCCUGAUGCAGCCACGCCGCGUGCGGGAUGAAGGCCUUCGGGUUGUAAACCGCUUUCGCCUGUGACGAAGCGUGAGUGACGGUAAUGGGUAAAGAAGCACCGGCUAACUACGUG
rnacentral:rRNA from 1 species